CCUUCCCCUCUCAGCCGCGCAUCUCUCUCUCCCCCGACCUCUCUUGCUCACUCUCUUCUUCUUCCCUCUGCCACCACCGGAGACCCCAGCUCUAGCCACCAUCUCAUCACACCGCUUCCACCAGUCGACGCCGCACCUAAACCCGACCAAAACCCACCUGGAAUCACCGCCAUGCAUCAACCCCAACCUUCGCACUCGAUUCCCGAAGCUACGAAACCAAUGUAGAUAAUCUCUCCUUGAAUUCCAAACCAUAAUCUCGCCACACCGCCGCUAUUUCUUGGCCUAGUAGACAUGGAGGAGGAAAACCCAGAAAUCUAGCCAUCCACCGAAGCCGGACAAGGCUGCACGAGCGCCGCCGGAAUCUCUCCUUCUGUUGAGAUCGAUUCACCGUUCUCCGACCUCGCCUGAGCGACACCACCUCCAAAAAUAGGAUCAGCGUUGCGUCAGUCGCUAAAACCCUAUAGCCCCGACCUCUAACUCUGAACAGAGCCACUUCGCGUCGCAUGCGCCACAGUUGGCGCGUGAGAAACCCCUAGCUCUGCCGCUC
rnacentral:lncRNA from 1 species